rnacentral:lncRNA from 1 species
UGAAGCCAGGACAAAGCCUGCUUAGCAGUUUUCUUAAAAUAUUUCAGCUGAGCUAGCAAGACAAAACUAAAACAAAACAGAACAAAUCUUCAAAUCAAUGGUUUUGUCAUUUGUGGCAGCUCUGUGGCAACCCACACACUAAGAACCAUUCCUUUUUGAAAUGAAAAUGUGGCUGAUGAUGGUUUAGGAAAAGUUCUGCCCUUUUUAAACCAACCUAAUGACUUGGUCAACACUCUGAGCUGUGUCCAGCAUAAAAAUUGUUCUGUCUCCCACACCAGCCAGGAAAAAAACAAAAGUUACAAAUAAUCUUCAAAGAACAAUUUUUUGAAAUUCUUCUCACUGGCUUCCAGCAGUCCAGCAGAGCAGACUGGCAAGCAAGAGGAGGUGUCCCUCCAUUUAAGGCUGCCUGGAGGUUGUUACUGCAGCCACCCCAGGCCAAGUGUCAGCACCCGAGUGUCCCCCUCUAAACAAAAGCUGACCAGAGAAAAGGGAGGACCUUUCCAAAACCAUGCUGCCUGGGGACUCCAUUACCAAGAUCUGGCCUGCGCCUUCCUGGACUGCCCUUCCUGGCCAACAGAAACUCCUUUAGCCAUUGAGCAGGUGACCUUCACUUGUCCCAAUUUGUUAGAAAUAUAAUCGAUUCAAAUGUCUUUUCACAAAGUGGUGAGUUUACUAUAUUUUUAUAUUUUCCACUUACAUAUUUAUAAUACUUUAUACUUAUAUAUUUACUGUAUUUUCCUGUCAUGACUCAAAUUCUAAACCGGGAGGAACAAGCUCUUGCUCCUCUAUGCUCUUGCUCCACACGUGUGCUCGCGGCCCGUGGUUUCUGCAUGGUGAAAUCCUGGAGGAAUUCCACGCCAGGUGGCUCACGUGAAUUCAGACUGCUGGAGGAAUGAACCCGAUGUCUUCUGCUCCACAGGACCACAGUCAACCUUUCAAAUACGAGUUGGUUUAAAGUUCGCUGGUAAAUAAAAAUGAGGGUAUGCUCAGAACCACGGGCUUGCUCCUGUCUGGCUGCUGGCAGGCAGGGUCUGCUGAUCCGUCAGAUGCUCAGGGUCCUUGAAGUCCACGUCUGACUGACAACCAACAUGCAGAGGGAAGUGCCAGGCAGAGCCCACGCCUCCUGUCUGUCGGGGGGGGGGACUUGACCGCUAGGCUUGUCUUUUGUUUUUGUUAUUGUUUUAACAAGGAAAUA